AGAGUUUGAUCCUGGCUCAGAGCGAACGCUGGCGGCAGGCCUAACACAUGCAAGUCGAGCGCCCCGCAAGGGGAGCGGCAGACGGGAGAGUAACACGUGGGAACGUACCCUUCAGNUUCGGAACAACCCAGGGNAAACUUGGGCUAAUACCGAAUACGUCCGUAAGGAGAAAGAUUUAUCGCUGAAGGAUCGGCCCGCGUCUGAUUAGCUAGUUGGUGAGGUAAUGGCUCACCAAGGCGACGAUCAGUAGCUGGUCUGAGAGGAUGAUCAGCCUCACUGGGACUGAGACACGGCCCAGACUCCUACGGGAGGCAGCAGUGGGGAAUAUUGGACAAUGGGCGCAAGCCUGAUCCAGCCAUGCCGCGUGGAUGAUGAAGGCCCUAGGGUUGUAAAGUCCUUUCGGCGGGGAAGAUAAUGACGGUACCCGCAGAAGAAGCCCCGGCUAACUUCGUGCCAGCAGCCGCGGUAAUACGAAGGGGGCUAGCGUUGCUCGGAAUCACUGGGCGUAAAGCGCACGUAGGCGGACUCUUAAGUCGGGGGUGAAAUCCUGGAGCUCAACUCCAGAACUGCCUUCGAUACUGAGAGUCUCGAGUCCGGGAGAGGUGAGUGGAACUGCGAGUGUAGAGGUGAAAUUCGUAGAUAUUCGCAAGAACACCAGUGGCGAAGGCGGCUCACUGGCCCGGNUACUGACGCUGAGGUGCGAAAGCGUGGG
rnacentral:rRNA from 1 species